CGCCCAGACUCCUACGGGAGGCAGCAGUGGGGAAUAUUGCACAAUGGGGGAAACCCUGAUGCAGCGACGCCGCGUGAGCGAUGAAGUAUUUCGGUAUGUAAAGCUCUAUCAGCAGGGAAGAAAAUGACGGUACCUGACUAAGAAGCCCCGGCUAACUACGUGCCAGCAGCCGCGGUAAUACGUAGGGGGCAAGCGUUAUCCGGAUUUACUGGGUGUAAAGGGAGCGUAGACGGCUGUGCAAGCCAGAUGUGAAAGCCCGGGGCUCAACCCCGGGACUGCAUUUGGAACUGUGUGGCUGGAGUGUCGGAGAGGCAGGCGGAAUUCCUAGUGUAGCGGUGAAAUGCGUAGAUAUUAGGAGGAACACCAGUGGCGAAGGCGGCCUGCUGGACGAUGACUGACGUUGAGGCUCGAAAGCGUGGGGAGCAAACAGGAUUAGAUACCCUUGUAC
rnacentral:rRNA from 1 species